rfam:Ricinus communis ctg_1100012354700, whole genome shotgun sequence.
AAUUGGCAAGAAUGAUGAAUCAAUUAGAUGUGUGAAUGGAGUUAAUCCAUUGUGAACUUAAACUCUUGAGGCAUUUUAAUUAUCUGACUUGCCCAAG